GCUUGAGCACGUAGGUGGGUUUGUAAGUCAGAUGUGAAAGCCUUCUGUUCAACGGAAGAAUUGCAUCUGAAACUGCGAGUCUUGAGUGUAGGAGGGGAGAAUGGAACUUCUGGUGGAGCGGUGAAAUGCGUAGAUAUCAGAAGGAACGCCGGCGGCGAAAGCGAUUCUCUGGCCUAUUACUGACACUCAGUGUGCGAAAGCUGGGGGAGCAAACGGGAUUAGAUACCCCGGUAGUCCUAGCCGUAAACGAUGGGCACUAAGUAGAGGGAAUUACCGAUGUUCUCUCUGCCGUAGCUAACGCAUUAAGUGCCCCGCCUGGGGAGUACGGCCGCAAGGCUAAAACUCAAAAGAAUUGACGGGGGCUCGCACAAGCGGUGGAGCAUGUGGCUUAAUUCGAUGCAACGCGAAAAACCUUACCGGGGCUUGACAUGGUAGAAGUAGGAACCCGAAAGGGUAACGAGCGGUAUCCAGUCCGUAGCUAUCACAGGUGUUGCAUGGCUGUCGUCAGCUCGUGUCGUGAGACGUUGGGUUAAGUCCCCUAACGAGCGAAACCCUUGUUUUUAGUUACCAGCGGGUUGUGCCGGGUACUCUAGAAAGACUGCCGUCGUCAAGACGGAGGAAGGUGGGGAUGACGUCAAGUCAUCAUGGCCCUUAUGCCCCGGGCUGCACACGUGCUACAAUGGUCGGUACAAACGGAAGCGAAGCCGAGAGGUGAAGCGAAUCCAAGC
rnacentral:rRNA from 1 species